rnacentral:rRNA from 1 species
CAACGCGUUAAGUGUUCCGCCUGGGGAGUACGCACGCAAGUGUGAAACUCAAAGGAAUUGACGGGGGCCCGCACAAGCGGUGGAGUAUGUGGUUUAAUUCGAUGCAACGCGAAGAACCUUACCAGGGUUUGACAUCCUGCGAAUCCCUUGGAAACGAGGGAGUGCCUUCGGGAGCGCAGUGACAGGUGGUGCAUGGCUGUCGUCAGCUCGUGUCGUGAGAUGUUGGGUUAAGUCCCGCAACGAGCGCAACCCACGUCUUUAGUUGCCAGCAUUCAGUUGGGCACUCUAGAGAGACCGCCGGUGAUAAACCGGAGGAAGGUGUGGAUGACGUCAAGUCAUCAUGCCCCUUACAUCCUGGGCUACACACGUACUACAAUGCUACGGACAAAGGGCAGCAAACUCGCGAGAGCUAGCAAAUCCCAUAAACCGUGGCUCAGUUCAGAUCGUAGGCUGCAACUCGCCUACGUGAAGGAGGAAUCGCUAGUAAUCGCAGGUCAGCAUACUGCGGUGAAUACGUUCCCGGGCCUUGUACACACCGCCCGUCACACCAUGGAAGUUGGCCACGCCCGAAGCCGUUACUCCAACC